rnacentral:rRNA from 1 species
UACCAGCACCCCCGAGUGGUCGGGACGGAUUAUUGGGUCCGUAAACGACAUCCGUACGCCGGUACCGUGCAAGUACUUCCGUUAAACUACCACCCUGCUCAACAGUUGGGUCGUGCGGGGGAGUACUACAGCGCUAGGAGGCGGGAGAGGCAAGCGGUACUCAAUGGGUAGGGGUAAAAUCCGCUGAUCCAUUGAAGACCACCAGUGGCGAAGGCGGCUUGCCAGAACGCGCUCGACGGUGAGGGAUGAAAGCUGGGGGAGCAAACCGGAUUG